GUCGACCGAUAUAAAAUUGAUAUUUCAUACUCACAGGCUUGGCGAGCAAGAAAUUGGGCUAUAAAUUCAUUAAGAGGUUCAUCGGAGGAAUCAUUUAUGCUUUUACUAGAUUAUUGCUACAAUCUAUAGCGUACUAAUACAGGCACCAUUACUGCUAUUGAAAUGGAUGAUGACCAUCAAUUUAAGAAUUUUUUCAUGGCAUUAGGAUGUUCCAUUCGUGCAUUCAGAGAAUAUCUCCGCCUGAUUAUUUGCAUUGACGUUGCAUUCUUUAAAGGUCGAUAUAUGGGACAUUUAUUCAUUGCAGUGGCUCUUGAUGGUAAUAACCAGAUAUAUCCCAUCGAUUUCAGUGUCGAUAAAAAAGGAGAUCAUGACACAUGGUGUUGGUUUCUCCAGAGGAUUAAAGAAUGUAUCCAUGACCUAUUUGAGUUAGCAAUAAUCUAAGAUCGACAUCAUGCUAUAUACUUGACAAUGGCUGAAGUCUUUCUAGAUGUCCACCAUGGAUGUUGUUGUCAUCAUCUUCUGUGUAACAUGCGAGCAAAGUAUAAACGAGACUCAAAAGUUGCGGGGGCAUAUUGGAAAGCUGCAAAAUCAUACACAGAAUCAGAAUUUGAGGUGAUGAUGCAAUCUCUUGACUCAAUGAACCCUCAAGCUGGAGCUUAUCUACGUGAUGUCGGAUUUGAGCAUUGGAGUAGAGCGUACUUUCCAGGGUAUUGUUACAACAUCAUGACCACUAACAUUGCUAAGUCAUUUAAUACCUUUGUCAGACAUGCACGAGGCCUACCCAUCACAAUGCUCCUGGAGUUCAUUCGUGGUACCAUAUAGUGAUGGUUUUACGAAAGAAGAAACCAUGCAAACGAAUGUCCUAACUUUGUCACCCUUUGGGCAGAGGAGAAGAUCAGCAGUUGUCUAUCAAAGUCUACACAUUUGGAAGUUCGAUCGAUUACAUAGACUCGGUAUCAAGUUGUCGAUUUUGGUGGAUUCAUGGGUAUUGUAGACUUUGGUGAAAUGUCUUGCACAUGUAGAAAGUUUCAGCUUUCAUGUAUUCCGUGCAAGCAUGACAUCGUCGUUGCACAACAUAUAAGACUCACGAAUGUCAAUGCAUGGGUUCAUCCAUUCUUUCGGACCGAUAUCUACCGUGCAAUAUAUCAAGAACUUGUCAAUCCUCUUAGAAAUCAAUCUGAUUGGUUGCACUCACCAGAAGGAAUGGUUAUUCUGCCCCCCUCCUCGAUAGUCGUCGUCUGGGUCAUCCCUCCAAUAGAAAUCGACGUCCUUCACAGGGAGAAAAUGUGACACCGAGGAUUUGUAGUCGUUGCCAUGAACCAGGACACAUACGAACCCAAUGUAAAAGACCAGCACCCGUGCCGACCUCCGUUCCGCAGCAUUCAUCUAAAAAAGGCAAAGGGACAAGAUUUUGAAAUUUGGUGGAAUCAAUUUUGUUAGUUACAUGAUUCAUCAUUGUUGUACUU